rnacentral:rRNA from 1 species
GGUUAAGUCCGCAACGAGCGCAACCUAUUUUUAGUUGUCCAGCGAGUAAUGUCGGGCGACUCUAGAGAGACUGCCGGUGGACAAACCCGGGAGGAAAGGUGGGGAUGACGUCAAAUCAUCAUGCCCUUUAUGUCCUGGGCUACACACGUACUACAAUGGCCGGUACAGACGGACGCAAAGCCGCGAGGUGGAGCAAAUCCUAAAAAGCCGGUCUCAGUUCGGAUUGCAGGCUGCAAUUCGCCUGCAUGAAGUCGGAAUCGCUAGUAAUCGCAGGUCAGCAUACUGCGGUGAAUACGUUCCCGGGCCUU